UCUCAGAUCCCAAGAAAAUUAAGGAGCCUCUGCUCUCAUGAAAGUUGUUGAUCCAUGGUGAUCCAUGGUAGAAGAUGAAGAUGGAAGAGGAGGAGGAAAAGGAGAAGGAAAUCAGCCUGUCAUCAUCCAUAAUCAUGAGAAUCAUCAUCCAUAAUCAUGAGAGAGAAGAUGGGUUGAGGAAGAUGGAACAGAACCCUCUAGUUUCAAAAUCUGGAAGCUUUGGCCAGAAAUCCAGGUUUAUUUAACGCAUGUUGAUGGGGGUAAUCAAUGUAGAUUCUUGCUGCAACUAUGUUCCUGGAUCUGAUUCUCACUCCCUCGAUGAUGAUCAGGUCAUUCAUCCAAUCCACAACCAAUCAUUUUAUCUUACUUUGGAGCACAAGUGGAAGUUGAAGGUGGAAUUUGGUUAGUAUAUGCUGAAAGUGAUGAAUUUUUCCUCUUAAUACAUCCAGUGGUUGAUUAUAGGGAUUGAACCAUGGACAUUUGAACAACGCUUAGGCGAAGCAGUUUUUAUUUUCGCCAGAUGCCCCCACCAAGCUAGAAAUCUGAAGGCAAAAUUUGUGAGCUGGCAAAGUUCUUGCACUUCUCAACAAUAAAAUGGAGACAAGAUGACUAUGUACAAAAAAAAUUUAUAAGACCAAAAGACCAAAAAGGUAGCUGUUGCAGAAGCUAACUCUCGGUGUUAGUAUCCUCUUCCCUCUGCUUUGAGCAGAUCCCGAUGUUACUUAAACUACCAUACUACCGUGGAUCUCCUUCUCAUCUGUAACAAGUCCUCUAAAUCUUUAGUUGCUUGAUCGACUGCAUAUAUAAUCAUCUUUUUAAUCUGUUUCACAGAGAGAUCAGAGAAGGGUAAGAACAGCUGGAAAAGCAAAAAGAUGCCACAGCCAAACAAAAUAUAAGGCAUGAUGUAAGGCUAUACUUAUGUGUUACCUCAAGUUUGUCCUCUCUGGCUUUAUGAUUCCUUGGGAGCUGUCUGAACUCCUCAGUCAAACGGAGGCACUCACCGAUAUUCUCAGGAGAGACAAAGUCGGCAGCAACUUUUGUGCAUGACUACAUGAAGAAUGAUGAUGGUGCCCACAAUUUAGAGGACUUUCAGUACAAGGUGAUGGUACAGGUAAAAGAUUUAAAGAAGCAGUUCUUACCUUCAGAUUUCUAACUUGGUGAGGGCAUCCGGCGGGAAUAAAAACUGCUUCGCCUAAGUGUUGUUCGAAUGUCCAUGGUUCAAUCCCUAAAAAGUUUCACAAGUUAUCAUCAACGAUCAGAUACUGUAUUAAGAGGAAAAAUUCAUCACAGCAUAUAUACUAACCAAAUUCCUCCUUCAACUUCCUCUUGUGCUCCAAAGUAAGAUAAAAUGAUUGGUCAUGGAUCGGAUGAAUGACCUGAUCAUCGAGGGAGUGAGAAUCAAAUCCAGGAACAUAGCUUUACAUAAAUAUGCCAACAAGAGCACAGCUUAAUUGUUCUGGGAAAUUCACCUCUUUAAUUGGAGCGCAGUAUGUAUGCCUGAAUUCGUUAUGGUGCUUCCUAAGAUAUGCCUCCAACAGGGGGACGUCCUCUCUUCGGAAAAUGUCCCACAAUGCACCGCCUCUUUGCUUGAUUUCUUGGUCCGAACAGAGAUCUUUUCUGCAUUUCUCUCCUUUCUCCCAGCCUCCCUCACGGCCAUCUUGAAAAUAUACACCGCCGACAAGACAUUGAAGUUCCAUCACAUCCUGUAAUUUGUGCUUCUCUUUCAAGGUUUUCACUGCAGAUUGCUGCUCCUCACUUAAGGAUACCUCUGAUGUGUGCGUCAGGAUAUUCACCUGUUAAGACAACACAUGCGAGUGUCUGAUUAUGGUGGCAGAUGGCAGACAUGGACUGGUAGUAGUUUCCAUCAUAUAUCAAUCAAAGAAGCAAUUACUGUAUUGGACAUCACCAGUAUAAUAAUAUCGAGCAACUUUUGCCUCUAAA